UUCUUCUUCAACGAAAUCGAACCAGAAACGCAAAUUGAUCGGCAAUGUCAUGGCUGAGAUCGGCGGUGAACAAAGCAGUAGAAGUUGGCGGUGCUGGCAACCGAAACCUAUCUCGCAACCUUCGUUACUACGCCGAUUCCGUCGUCCAACAAGCCUCUAAUGCCGUUUCCGGCGGCGCCAAGUUAUUCCUCGAUCGCUCUG
rnacentral:lncRNA from 1 species